AGGAGCUUAGCUCAGAUGGUAGAGCAUUCGCUUAGCAUGCGAGAGGUACGGGGAUCGAUAAACUCGCGCUUCCA